rnacentral:rRNA from 1 species
UACGAAGGGGGCUAGCGUUGUUCGGAAUUACUGGGCGUAAAGCGCGUGUAGGCGGGUCUUUAAGUCAGGGGUGAAAUGCCAGGGCUCAACCUUGGAACUGCCUUUGAUACUGGAGACCUUGAGUCCGGGAGAGGUGAGUGGAAUUGCGAGUGUAGAGGUGAAAUGCGCAGAUAUCGGGAAGAACACCCGUGGCGAAGGCGGCUCUCUGGGACGGUACUGACGCUGAGACGCGAAAGCGUGGGGAGCGAACAGG